rnacentral:rRNA from 1 species
GACGAACCGUACGAACGUUAUUCGGAAUCACUGGGCUUAAAGGGUGCGUAGGCGGCGCGACAAGUUGGGUGUGAAAUCCCUCGGCUCAACCGAGGAACUGCGCCCAAAACUGUCGUGCUCGAGGGAGACAGAGGUGAGCGGAACUUAGGGUGGAGCGGUGAAAUGCGUUGAUAUCCUAAGGAACACCGGUGGCGAAAGCGGCUCACUGGGUCUCUUCUGACGCUGAGGCGCGAAAGCUAGGGGAGCAAACAGG